AGCGUUGUGGACCCACCUGAUCCCAUGCCGAACUCAGAAGUGAAACGCAAUAGCGCCGAUGGUAGUGUGGGGCUUCCCCAUGUGAGAGUAGGAC
rnacentral:rRNA from 1 species